UCAGGCUGCUUAUGAAUGAAUUUCAUCAAUGAUGGAAACUACAAGCCUUGCUGAAAGAAGUAAGAGAAGCUAUCCCACAUUCAUGGAUGGAGAUCCUAGCCAACCUGUACUGCAGACUUGGUGUGACUUCUGGUGAAAAUCCAACAACCUCCUUUUCAGAAUGACAAUUUGAAGCUCAAAUUCACAUGGAAUUGUCGGGACCCUGAAGAUCCAAAGCGAUACUGUCCAAAGAAACAAAGCUGAAGAGAGCACACUUUCCAAUUCCAAAGCUUACUGUGAAGUCACAAUUUGGGGGACAGCGAACACUAGUCCAAGAACAAACACACAAGAUAAAGGACGAGAAUUGACAUCCAGACCUAAGCCAGGAGCCCUCAGCUUCAACAGAGAAGGAGCAACCUCUCAACGAAUGGUGCUGAGACAGGUGUAUUUUUGUCAUAGACAUGCCCACAGCUCAGACGCACUGACCGAAGCACUGGGCAGGAAAUAAAGUUCAUCAUCCUGCAGAAAGUAACUGAAGAAAGGACAAAAGCCCAUGACUCUACUCCACACUCAUCUCCACACUCCUUCAGCCUUCUCUAUGUCCUUCUCUGCUCUCACCAAGUUUUGCAAAAGUUUACAGAGUUAAAGCAUUUGUAUGGGAGACCCACCAGUUGGACAGUUGUGCUGUAUGAAGCCCUGGUCUAUCUCUGCCUGCCUUGAAGACAUGAACAUUUUCUUACUGUGCACAAGACUUCUGCAAAUGGAAGCUAUCACCAUCAAUAGCUCCUUUAUUAGGAGAAGAAAGGCUCAUGAAGUCCUCCAUUCUCCAUGCUUGAAUGUCGACUGGCUUGAUCUUGUACAAGUCUUGUGUGGGCAAACAGCCGCUGUUAAUCAAUGAGAACAGAAGUCCAGUCCCGUGGAAAAGGCAUUAUUUCACUCCCAUCCUCCCCAAACCCUGAUUCUUAAGAGUCAUUCCUCCCUCUUUUCCAACAUGGUCCCUGAUCCUUGAGUUUCCCAUUUGUGCCUGAGCAUUCUACUGACACUUACUCUCUGCACUUUGACCAGUUUUGAGUUUCUGCAUUAACCACCAUCCAUCCAGAAAUAAAGAUGUAUUUCUGAUAAA